AGCUUUGCGCAGUGGCAGUAUCAUAGCCAAUGAGGUUUAUCCGAGGUGCGAUUAUUGCUAAUUGAGAUA
rnacentral:snRNA from 1 species